GUCUCCUCCUGAGAGUAAAACACAUCCUCUGUUAAUGCAAUCAUAAUAGGUGUGAUCAAUGUUGGCCAAUAUUUUUGUUACUUCUAGGCUACCUGCAGUAAAGAUGUAAUGAGAGUUUGAUUUCAUCUGUUUGACAGCAGAGGCUUUGCCUUUAUGGAUUUCUGUGGUUCUUGACUGACUGCAUUCUUUGAGAAUGAAAACAGUCCUUUGCUGAAGUAAAGUGACUUGUUUGACAAGACCUUUAUCUCAUCAUUAGCACAUGAACACGCUCAUCCAUCCUCAUUCCAGUUUCAGGGCCAUUGGGUGAGUUCUCACUCUACGUGCUAUUUAACUGCGACACAACACCAUUUUAGUUGUACAUGCUGGAUCAUUUUGAACCAUAAAGGAAUAACUCAAUGGAUUAUUAAUUAUGAGGGGCUGAGGAGAGCGAAGUACAUCUUUUUUUGUUUGUUUGUCUUUACAAACUCCCGGAAGCCUUUGAGUCGGAAUGAUGGAACAGGAUGAAUCAAUAGACUUUAAAACCCUGAAGGCACGGUUCCAGGGUGAAAAUGGUCUGAAGAUCCAGACUAAACCUGCCCUCCCAGAGAAACCCAAAACCAUCCCUCCAUCGACAAAAGUCAGCAAUCCCUUGAUCUCAUCCAUCAAUACUGCUGUGCAAAAAGGGACGUUUCACGCACCACGUGUAGUCUUCAAACAAGACAAAACUCUAAAUCGCCAGCUCUCUCCACCUUGGGGAUUAAAGACCAGAGAGAACAAACCCAUCAAUAAUGAUGAACUGCUGGAUAAUAAACAGAAGAAGGAGGUCAACACUGUUAAGCAAAAUCUGAAAGACAAGAAUUUUCCGCUGGUUCUGCCUGUAGCUCCAGAGCCUGAUUCCAGCCCACGUACAUCUGUGUCCACAUCACCAGUCAAAGUGACGACACCCAAAAAAUUUGUAUUUACCCCUCAAAAAACUAGCAAAGAUAAAUGUGAGAAAACAGACCCUGUCAAGGAGGUAGACACUACCAAAAAGUCUCUGAAGGACAGGAAUUUUCCAAUGGUUCUGCCAGUGGCUCAGAAAAAAGCUGAAAGCCCAGAACCUGAACCCAGCCCACUUACACCUGUGUCCAUUCCACCAGCCAAAGUGUGCACAACCAAGAGUUUUGUAUUUACUCCUCAAAAAACUAGCCAUGAUGAGAAAGAGAAGGCAGACACAGUAAAAGAGGUCGACACUGCCGAAAAUUCUCUGCAAGAUAGCAGUCAUCCACUGGUUCUGUCAGUGGCUCCAAUAAAAGCUGAUACCCCAGAGCCUGAACCCAGCCCCUAUACGCCUCAGAAUUCCACACCAAAGAAUUUUGGGAUUACCACUCAAACAACUAGCCAAGAUAAGAAUGGGAAGGCAGACACAGUUAAAGAGGUCGACACUGCUGAAAAGUUUCUGAAAGAUAGCAAUCUUCUACUGGUUCUGCCAGUGGCUCCAAUAAAAGCUGAUACCCCAAAGCCUGAACCCAGCCCCUAUACACCUCAGAAUUCCACACCCAAUAAUUUUGUGUUUACCACUCAAACAACUAGCAAAGAUGAGAAUGAGGUGGCAGAUACAGUGGAAAGACCAACAGCAGCUAGUCAUACCCCUGCUCCAAGUCACCCAGCUCCUGCUGGGCCGUCUGUAACAGCUAAUCCCCCUACUCAAAGUGUUCCUGUUGUCCCUAAGUUUGCCGUACCUUCUCAGACUUCAACUGGAACACCUCCUGUCUCCAACAUUCCUGCCCCAAGUAUUCCAGCUCCAAUCCAUUCGACCUCUGCAAGCCCUGAGCCAAAAAUUCCUGAGCCAAAGAUUCCUGAACCAGCCAUAGCAACACCAAUCAUUCCCUCUCAAGCUGUUCCUAAAUCAAAGCCAGAAAGCUCUAUUUCAACUCUUCCUGACACUGAACCUCUUAAACCAAAUAUACAUAUGCUCAGUUUAUCAGAAGUAUUUCCUCCCCCUGAAGGAAGUCCACCUCCAGAAUUCACUGAUAUUCCACCCCCUGUUUUUGAUGAAGACUUUCCAGAUGGAGACUUUUCUGAGCAACCUAUACCCACUCCACCAAUAGGUAUAUAUUUUGCCCCAGUUCCCACGAGUCCAGUUAUCUCCAGGUCCCCUUCCCCAUCCACCCCUCCAGCAGUAUCUCCAGGGCCCUUCGUGAAUCCUUUAGAAUAUACACCUGGUCCAGUCCCAAGCCCUCCUCCAGAAGUUCAUACCCAUGCUGCACCUAUAGAGGUGUUACUGGAGAAUGCAAAACCUCUGACUGAAAAGGCAGCUAUUAACCCAGAGAGGUCUAAGGGGGACCCGUCCUCAACCAAGCCACUUUCACCCUUCUCAGCCUUGGCGAGAGCAGAGGAGAUGGCCUCUGUAAAAAGGUCACCACCUGAUAGCCGUUUAUUUAACCUUCUGGAAAGGGCCAAGAGAACGUCCACAGUGAGUCCACUGGCUACCACACCUGAAAAUACAUCUUUACCUGAAAAUACAACCCUAGUUGAGAAAGCUACAUCCAAGAUACCUCUGCCUGAAACUCUCACACCUCUGCCUGAGACUGCCACAGCUGAGGUGACCCAACCUGAUCUAGCUCCAACAGAAAAAGCCUCACCACAGCUUGCCACAACUUUAGAAACAUUGCCUGAGGAAGCCCCACCUGUACCAGAAGUGUCUGAUAUCCCUAAACUCCCUCCAGUUGACUAUGUUGAUCAUACUCUGUUGCCACCUAAAACCCACCUACCUGAAACUGCCGAGGUUAAUGGUUUUGAUCACAGGGUGGUUACAGUGGUAAAACCAAUGAAUCCUCCUCCCCCACCGCCCAGAAGGGCUCUGCCAGCCACUCUCAUUGUGGAUCCCCCACUUGAGAAACCAACGCAGUCUCCUGCCAGAGACUUCCAGAUUCCCACAACACCAUCUGAACCUCUAGAAACACAUGAAGAGUCACUAUACGACAACUCAUUUGAGAGUUAUGAAGAUGCUGAGGAACCUGAGGCUCCAGCACCUUCAUCCUUUAGGCCUCCAUCAGUACCAUCAUCAGCUUCUAGUACCAAAAGGCCGGUUUCAGAUCAUGAGGAAGUCUUCCUGAAACAGUUGAGCCUAAAACAACAGUCGAAAGAGGAUGUGUUUCCGAAUGUGGAUGAUAGAGAUGUGGAUUAUGGGUCUAUGAACUCUGGCUCUCCAUAUCCAGAAACUCAAGCUGCAGUGCAUCAGGACUCAGUGCGAAGCUCACCUGCCUUGACUCCAUCAGGGACCCUUGAAAGAGGUGACAGUGUCUUUGAAGAUCAAUCAGACAGUAAAAAAGGCAAAACGGCAAAGACUAAGAAACAGAAAGGGCCUCCAAAGAAUCCGUAUGCUGAUACACCAGCAGUGGUGGAGGAGGCUCCCAAGAAAAGCUUGUUCUCCAGGUUUGUAGCAGCAUUUUUUUAA
ensembl:lncRNA